rnacentral:rRNA from 2 species
ACGGAAGGCAGCAGUGGGGAAUAUUGCACAAUGGGGGAAACCCUGAUGCAGCGACGCCGCGUGAGUGAAGAAGUAUUUCGGUAUGUAAAGCUCUAUCAGCAGGAAAGAAAAUGACGGUACCUGACUAAGAAGCCCCGGCUAACUACGUGCCAGCAGCCGCGGUAAUACGUAGGGGGCAAGCGUUAUCCGGAUUUACUGGGUGUAAAGGGAGCGUAGACGGCUUUGCAAGUCUGAAGUGAAAGCCCGGGGCUCAACCCCGGAACUGCUUUGGAAACUGUAGAGCUAGAGUGCAGGAGAGGUAAGUGGAAUUCCUAGUGUAGCGGUGAAACGCGUAGAUAUUAGGAGGAACACCAGUGGCGAAGGCGGCUUACUGGACUGUAACUGACGUUGAGGCUCGAAGGCGUGGGGAGCAAACAGGAUUAGAUACCCUGGUA